AUUUUUAUCAAUAUGUAUGUCUUACUCGUUAUUAAUAGUUAUCGUUAAACAAUACGAACAAAAAAUGUAUUAAUAUUUAUAUAUAGGAAGAACAAUGUUGUAUUGUACUUAUAACCUCAGGCAUUUUACCUUGAGUACAAUUUUAAUUUUAGACAGGCAUACUAAUACAAUCAGUUUGUAAUCAGUAAUGUCGCGCUUUUGACGCUUAUCUGUUCAAAAUAAUAAUUAAAAAAAAGUUAUCAAAUAUUAUUUGUGAAAUGACAACUUUCGCGCGCUUUUUAACGAAAUUUAAUUGUAGUUUAUACGUGCCGUGUUGCCAAAACUAAAGUUAUCUGUGACAAAAAUAAAAUUAGAUUUUUCGAUUCGUUACAUUUUAACGUUAUUUUGUUGCGUAUCGGUAAGAUAAUAUAAUAAAUACGGAAAUAAUAUUGUGAUAUUUAAAAAUUGAUAAACACAAUUCAUUGUCAAAGAGUGCUUG